CCUCUCUCUUUCUCUUCUUCUCUUUCCCGUCGCGACGUCCUCACCUUUCUUCUUCUUCUUCUUCUUUCUCCCUCUUCUUCUUCCCUCCUUUUCUUUUCCCCAUCCCAGUCUCCGCUGCACUACCAGACAGCCCGCGACGACAGCCAUCCACUCGCCGCCUCCGACGCCGCGAUCUGCACCGCCGUUGCGCGCCCUCGCCGAACCGCUUCACCGCGAUUCCAGACCGGUUCCUCCGAUUCCAGCCGGCCGAAUCUUCCCCGUCUGCACCUCCUCUUCUUCAGCCGCUCCACAAUCACUCCUGCUCCUGCGACUCAACCAUCGUCGACAAUCGCCGCCGUGAACCGCUGACCACUGCCCUAGUCCUUCAUCCUUCGAUUGAGAAAGAAAAGACAAAUUUGGUGAAUUUGGAGAAAAAAAAAAAAAUCAACAUUGGACAAUGAAGUUAGUCAUGACUAUGACUAACCACACCCUCGUGACAUGAGAAUUUAAUUAAAGACCCAAAAGCCAAGCUACAAAUAACUAGAGCAAAAAUUAAAUAAAAUGAGGUGGAGUCACACGCAGACACGAGGAAGAUGGCAAGAGCAGAUACGCACAAGGGCAGAAGACUAACAAACUCAUAAAUUGCACAUGAGCAAAUCGACAGAAAAGAUUUCCCCUCUUACUAUGACUUUAUCUUUCUCUAUUGUUCUUUGUUAUUUGAUUAUGAAGUAGAUAUUUUUUCUGAUAUGAAUGAUAAUAAUGUUUUGGUUCUUAUGUUUUGGAGAUUCUUUAUUUACUUUAUAAAAGUUCUUUUUAUUA